rnacentral:rRNA from 1 species
AGUGAACGCUGGCGGUAGGCUAACACAUGGAAGGUGAACGGGAAGACAAGUAGGAGCUUGUCUUAACGGGGGCGGGGUGGCGGAGGGGGGGGGAAAAAACCGGAACUACUUUUUCCGGGGGGGUUAAGGAAGGGAAACUUAGGUUAUACCGGAUAACGACUAACGGGGGAAAGAAGGGAUAUUCCGAACUUGCGGGGAUGGAUGGGGCGAUGUCGGAUUAGCUAGUUGGCGGGGUAAAGGCCCACCAAGGCGACGAUCCGUAGCUGGUCUGAGAGGAUGAUCAGCCACACUGGAACUGAGACACGGUCCAGACUCCUACGGGAGGCAGCAGUGGGGAAUAUUGGACAAUGGGCGCAAGCCUGAUCCAGCCAUACCGCGUGGGUGAAGAAGGCCUUCGGGUUGUAAAGCCCUUUUGUUGGGAAAGAAAAGCAGCAGGUUAAUACCCCGCUGUUCUGACGGUACCCAAAGAAUAAGCACCGGCUAACUUCGUG